CCGUUGUGUAAGGGUGUAUUUCAGGCGUUUCUAGUCGGAAACGAAGCACGAAUCUCGCUCUAUUUUAAUCCUGCCCAGGGUCUUCUCGGAGCGGGGCCGAGGCCGGCGCUGCGGAGUUAAGAAUGAAAGCCUAUUUUUAGCGGGUGCCGCGGUGAGGUGGGUGAACCCUGGCACUAAUGCAGUCUGUCCUCUUCUGAACCCAGGAAACCUGGCUGCGCGAGCGUGGUUCCCAAGCUCUUCACGCAGGUUUCCCGUGUCAGAUUUAUGA
rnacentral:lncRNA from 1 species